AUAACUUGAUUUCAUUUUCACUUGGACGAUGAAGACUUCCGGGACUACAUUUUUUUCUCAUCAUUUCUUUUGCUGGUUGGGAAGGUGAAAUGGAGAAAGGAAUGAAUGGCAACAAUGCAGUUUCAAAGACUUCCAUGGUUACAAUGGAGGCUAAAAUUGUUUUUUCCUUUUUUUUUCCUUCAAAAAAUGUAAUCAAUUUUAGUUAUUUAUUGAUUAUUACAGCAGAAUUUUUCAAUUGUAACCUGUGCUGUGUUAAAGAAACCUAGUUCAUCUUGGAC
rnacentral:lncRNA from 1 species